UACGUAGGGUGCAAGCGUUAAUCGGAAUUACUGGGCGUAAAGCGUGCGCAGGCGGUGAUGUAAGACAGAUGGGAAAUCCCCGGGCUCAACCUGGGAACUGCAUUUGUGACUGCAUCGCUGGAGGGCGGCAGAGGGGGGUAGAAUUCCACGUGUAGCAGUGAAAUGCGUAGAGAUGUGGAGGAACACCGAUGGCGAAGGCAGCCCCCUGGGUCAAGAUUGACGCUCAUGCACGAAAGCGUAGGGAGCAAACAGG
rnacentral:rRNA from 1 species